GCUAUGGCGUGUCCACCUACUCAGGAGGCUGAGGCUGGAGGAUUGCUUGAGUCCGGGAGUUCUGGGCUGUAGUGCCCUAUGCCGAUUAGAUGUCUGCACAAAGUUUGCAAUCAAUAUUGUGACCUCCCAUGAGUGGGGGACCACCAGGUUGCCUAUGGAGGGGUUAACCGGUGAACUGGCCCAGGUCAGAAACGGAGCAGGUCAAAACUCCCAUGCUGAUCAGUAGUGGAAUUGUGCCUGUGAAUAGCCACUGCACUCCAGCCUGGGCAACAUAGUGAGAUCCCGUCUCUU
rnacentral:SRP_RNA from 1 species